GGCCUGGCCCCAUCUGGAAGACUAGUGAUUUUGUUGUUCUCUAACAUAAAGAUUGACAACAAAUCCCAGUCUGCCUCAUGGUGCCUGGCC
rnacentral:pre_miRNA from 13 species